GUUUUAAUAAUUUAAGUAAAAUAUUGAUCUUGUAAAUCAAUAAUAAGGUAUUAACCCUUUUAAAACU
rnacentral:tRNA from 1 species